AGAGUUUGAUCCUGGCUCAGGACGAACGCUGGCGGUGUGCUUCACACAUGCAAGUCGAGCGAAUGAAGUAGGUAGCUUGCUACUUAUGGAUUUAGCGGCGGACGGGUGAGUAAUAUAUAGGAAUCCGCCUUAGAGCGGGGAACAACAGACCGAAAGGUUUGCUAAUGCCCCAUAGGUAUGCAGUCUUCGGAUUGUAUAUUAAAGGAGUAAUCCACUCUAAGAUGAGCCUGUAUCCGAUUAGCUAGUUGGCGGGGUAAAGGCCCACCAAGGCUACGAUCGGUAGUUGGUCUGAGAGGAUGAUCAGCCACAAUGGGACUGAGACACGGCCCAUACUCCUACGGGAGGCAGCAGUGGGGAAUUUUACACAAUGGGGGAAACCCUGAUGUAGCGACACCGCGUGAACGAAGAAGCCUUUUGGGGUGUAAAGUUCUGUCGGCUGGAACGAAAAAAAUGACGGUACCAGCAAAGGAAGCAUCGGCUAACUACGUGCCAGCAGCCGCGGUAAGACGUAGGAUGCAAGCGUUGUCCGGAUUUAUUGGGCGUAAAGAGUUCGUAGGCGGUUAUUUAAGUCUGAUGUUAAAUACUGUGGCCCAACCACAGAACUGCAUUGGAUACUGGAUGACUUGAGUGCGGUAGAGGCAAGUGGAAUUCCCAGUGUAGCGGUGAAAUGCGUAGA
rnacentral:rRNA from 1 species